AUGUAUAGUUGACAAAUUCAGUGAGCUCGAGAUAAAGGAGAGAAACAAGCUAAUGAACACUCGAUGAGUUGAUAGACUUGUUAUGAAACAUAAAUGAAGCACGACAUGAACAUCCUUGACAAACUAGAGUCAGUUCAGUUUGGUUAUAGACCUUCGUUGUGAAAUGGUUUGGUUCUUCCUUCUUAUAUUUUCAACACUACUUAUGUUGAUUUAUAUCGUAAUAAGACUACAAUAUACGCGAUGUACUAGUAACGAAUGCCUUAUAGGAAAAACAGCAGUUAUAACUGGAGGAAGUUCAGGUUAAAAAGAAGAACGACCCAUACAUAUUCAUUGAGAUAUGAAGAAGUCAAACACUGAAGACAUUAAAACGAACAAAACUUUUUUAAACAAACUAUUAACUUCAUUUCUCCAUUUACAAAAAAAUUGAAAAAAUUAAAAUAUUUUUUUUGUUGGUAACCGAACUUGGAUUCAACUUUUAAUUGUACGCCUUUCGAUACUUCAUUGAACGAAAAAUAUAUGUAGUGAAUAUGAAAAGAAGUUAUAUAGUUUUUCGUAAGUUAUAGAGAAUUGAAAAAUCGAACAUAAUAAAUGAAAUCACCCUGUGUCUUGAAUAUAAAAAAAUCUGGAACCUAUUGAAUAUAAGUUGUUUAGAAUGA